GGGUCCAUCCUCAUGCCCGCGGGCCAGCCCGUGGCCUGCCGGGUUUCGCUUGUGGACCAGAGUAUUCCAGAAGCCCCGCCCAGAGGCGGCCGCUUCCGUGGGCUUGCGCCGGGGGCGCUUCUGGACAGCC